rnacentral:misc_RNA from 1 species
CCAAUAGCGUAUAUUAAAGUUGUUGCAGUUAAAAAGCUCGUAGUUGAACUUCGGGGUUUACCCAUUGGUCAGGCUUAAUUGUCUGUACUGGUGAGAUAAAUCUCUACCUUCUGAGGAACUUUCAUGUCAUUAAUUUGGUGUGAUUGGAAAUCAGGACUGUUACUUUGAAAAAAUUAGAGUGUUUAAAGCAGGCUAACGUCUGAAUACAUUAGCAUGGAAUAAUGAAAUAGGACGGACUGAUUCUAUUUCGUUGGUUUCUAGGAUCACCGUAAUGAUUAAUAGGGAUAGUUGGGGGCAUUAGUAUUCAAUUGUCAGAGGUGAAAUUCUUGGAUUUAUUGAAGACUAACUACUGCGAAAGCAUUUGCCAAGGAUGUUUUCAUUAAUCAAGAACGAAAGUUAGGGGAUCGAAGACGAUCAGAUACCGUCGUAGUCUUAACCAUAAACUAUGCCGACUAGGGAUCGGACGAAGUUAAUUUUAUAAUGACGCGUUCGGCACCUUACGGGAAACUAAAGUGUUUGGGUC